GUGGGUAGUUUGACUGGGGCGGUCUCCUCCUAAAGAGUAACGGAGGAGCACGAAGGUUGGCUAAUCCUGGUCGGACAUCAGGAGGUUAGUGCAAUGGCAUAAGCCAGCUUGACUGCGAGCGUGACGGCGCGAGCAGGUGCGAAAGCAGGUCAUAGUGAUCCGGUGGUUCUGAAUGGAAGGGCCAUCGCUCAACGGAUAAAAGGUACUCCGGGGAUAACAGGCUGAUACCGCCCAAGAGUUCAUAUCGACGGCGGUGUUUGGCACCUCGAUGUCGGCUCAUCACAUCCUGGGGCUGAAGUAGGUCCCAAGGGUAUGGCUGUUCGCCAUUUAAAGUGGUACGCGAGCUGGGUUUAGAACGUCGUGAGACAGUUCGGUCCCUAUCUGCCGUGGGCGCUGGAGAACUGAGGGGGGCUGCUCCUAGUACGAGAGGACCGGAGUGGACGCAUCACUGGUGUUCGGGUUGUCAUGCCAAUGGCACUGCCCGGUAGCUAAAUGCGGAAGAGAUAAGUGCUGAAAGCAUCUAAGCACGAAACUUGCCCCGAGAUGAGUUCUCCCUGAGACUUUAAGUCUCCUGAAGGAACGUUGAAGACGACGACGUUGAUAGGCCGGGUGUGUAAGCGCAGCGAUGCGUUGAGCUAACCGGUACUAAUGAACCGU
rnacentral:rRNA from 1 species